GGACGAACGCUGGCGGCGUGCUUAACCCAUGCAAGUCGAACGGAAAGGCCCUGCUUUUGUGGGGUGCUCGAGUGGCGAACGGGUGAGUAACACGUGAGUAACCUGCCCUUGACUUUGGGAUAACUUCAGGAAACUGGGGCUAAUACCGGAUAGGAGCUCCUGCUGCAUGGUGGGGGUUGGAAAGUUUCGGCGGUUGGGGAUGGACUCGCGGCUUAUCAGCUUGUUGGUGGGGUAGUGGCAUACCAAGGCUUUGACGGAUAGCCGGCCUGAGAGGGUGACCGGCCACAAUGGGACUGAGAUACGGCCCAGACUCCUACGGGAGGCAGCAGUGGGGAAUAUUGCACAAUGGGCGGAAGCCUGAUGCAGCAACGCCGCGUGCGGGAUGACGGCCUUCGGGUUGUAAACCGCUUUCGCCUGUGACGAAGCGUGAGUGACGGUAAUGGGUAAAGAAGCACCGGCUAACUACGUG
rnacentral:rRNA from 1 species